GAUGAACGCUGGCGGCGUGCCUAAUACAUGCAAGUCGAGCGAACGGACGAGAAGCUUGCUUCUCUGAUGUUAGCGGCGGACGGGUGAGUAACACGUGGAUAACCUACCUAUAAGACUGGGAUAACUUCGGGAAACCGGAGCUAAUACCGGAUAAUAUUUUGAACCGCAUGGUUCAAAAGUGAAAGACGGUCUUGCUGGCACUUAUAGAUGGAUCCGCGCUGCAUUAGCUAGUUGGUAAGGUAACGGCUUACCAAGGCAACGAUGCAUAGCCGACCUGAGAGGGUGAUAGGCCACACUGGAACUGAGACACGGUCCUGAGUCCUGCGGGAGGCAGCAGUAGGGAAUCUUCCGCAAUGGGCGAAAGCCUGACGGAGCAACGCCGCGUGAGUUAUGAAGGUCUUCGGAUCGUAAAACUCUGUUAUUAGGGAAGAACAUAUGUGUAAGUAACUGUGCACAUCUUGACGGUACCUAAUCAGAAAGCCACGGCUAACUACGUG
rnacentral:rRNA from 1 species